rnacentral:rRNA from 2 species
UUGAAAAGAACUUUGAAGAGAGAGUUCAAGAGUACGUGAAACCGUUCAGGGGUAAACCUAAGAAACCCAAAAGAUCGAACGGGGAGAUUCAUCGUCAGCGGCGCUGGCUUCGCGUCGGUGGGCGAUGUUCCGCGGAGCCCUCGCGGGUCCUACCGCGGACACGCUACCGUGCGUCGAUGUCCGGCGUUCGUCGUCGUGCACUUCUCCCCUAGUAGGACGUCGCGACCCGCUGGGUGUCGGUCUACGGCCCGGGUGCGGUGACUGUCGCGUCGCCGGUAAAACGGCACGCGGCAAACCCUCGGUAGCCCGACCGGCUGCCCGGCGGUACACGCAUGGUAUCAGGCCGCACUCUAUUACACGUGUGCGUCGGGACCGUCGCAAGCGCGCGCCACGGUACUCGGAGGUUACGGACCUAGCGCCGUCCCCGGUCCUGGCCCGCUGUUGGUCGUACGGAACUCCUUCGACAGGCCUGCCCAAUUGUAAAUACCGGUCGGCGACGCUACUGCUUUGGGUACUCUUAGGACCCGUCUUGAAACACGGACCAAGGAGUCUAACAUGUACGCGAGUCAUUGGGACUAGCGAGACCUAAAGGCGCAAUGAAAGUGAAGGUCGGCCCUGGUUGUCGACCGAGGGAGGAUGGGCCGCGUCGCGAUGCGGCUCCGCACUCCCGGGGCGUCUCGUUCUCAUUGCGAGAAGAGGCGCACCCAGAGCGUACACGUUGGGACCCGAAAGAUGGUGAACUAUGCCUGGUCAGGACGAAGUCAGGGGAAACCCUGAUGGAGGUCCGUAGCGAUUCUGACGUGCAAAUCGAUCGUCGGAACUGGGUAUAGGGGCGAAAGACUAAUCGAACCAUCUAGUAGCUGGUUCCCUCCGAAGUUUCCCUCAGGAUAGCUGGCACUCGGCCGUUCCUACAGGAACGCGCGCGAGUCUCAUCUGGUAAAGCGAAUGAUUAGAGGCCUUGGGGCCGAAACGACCUCAACCUAUUCUCAAACUUUAAAUGGGUGAGAUCUCUGGCUUUCUUGAAUUAUGAAGCCACGAGCAUCUCGGAUCAGAGUGCCAAGUGGGCCAUUUUUGGUAAGCAGAACUGGCGCUGUGGGAUGAACCAAACGCAGAGUUAAGGCGCCCAACUCGACGCUCAUGGGACACCAUGAAAGGCGUUGGUUGCUUAAGACAGCAGGACGGUGGCCAUGGAAGUCGGAAUCCGCUAAGGAGUGUGUAACAACUCACCUGCCGAAGCAACUAGCCCUGAAAAUGGAUGGCGCUGAAGCGUCGAGCCUAUACUCUGCCGUCAGCGGCAAGUGGGGCGGUUGCGCGCAAGCGCGCCGUCACGAAGCCCUGACGAGUAGGAGGGUCGCGGCGGUGUGCGCAGAAGGGUCU